GGGCCAUUAGCUCAGCUGGUAGAGCGACUGACUCUUAAUCAGUAGGUCGUGGGUUCGACUCCCGCAUGGCCCA
rnacentral:tRNA from 1 species